rnacentral:rRNA from 1 species
UACGGAGGAUGCAAGCGUUAUCCGGAAUGAUUGGGCGUAAAGCGUCCGCAGGUGGCUGUGUAAGUCUGCUGUCAAAGAGCGAAGCUCAACUUCGUAAAGGCAGUGGAAACUACACGGCUAGAGUGCGUUCGGGGCAGAGGGAAUUCCUGGUGUAGCGGUGAAAUGCGUAGAGAUCAGGAAGAACACCCGUGGCGAAGGCGGCCCUCUGGCUCGACCCUGACGCUGAGAGGCGAAAGCGUGGGGAGCGAACGGG